rnacentral:tRNA from 1 species
UGUAUGUGAUUUAAAAAAAAUACCAAGUUGUGACCUUGACAACAGGAUA